rnacentral:rRNA from 2 species
ACACAUGCAAGUCGAACGAGCCUUCGGGCUAGUGGCGGACGGGUGAGUAACGCGUGGGAAUCUGCCCUCAGGAGGGGGAUAACGGCCGGAAACGGCCGCUAAUACCCCAUAUGCCGAGAGGUGAAAUGAAUUUCGCCUGAGGAUGAGCCCGCGUCUGAUUAGCUAGUUGGUGUGGUAAUGGCGCACCAAGGCUUCGAUCAGUAGCUGGUCUGAGAGGAUGAUCAGCCACACUGGGACUGAGACACGGCCCAGACUCCUACGGGAGGCAGCAGUGGGGAAUUUUCCGCAAUGGGCGCAAGCCUGACGGAGCAACGCCGCGUGAGGGACGAAGGCCUCUGGGCUGUAAACCUCUUUUCUCAAGGAAGAAGACAUGACGGUACUUGAGGAAUAAGCCACGGCUAAUUCCGUGCCAGCAGCCGCGGUAAUACGGGAGUGGCAAGCGUUAUCCGGAAUUAUUGGGCGUAAAGCGUCCGCAGGCGGCCCAGCAAGUCUGUUGUUAAAAAGUGGAGCUUAACUCCAUCCAGGCAAUGGAAACUGCUGGGCUAGAGUGUGGUAGGGGCAGAGGGAAUUCCCGGUGUAGCGGUGAAAUGCGUAGAUAUCGGGAAGAACACCAGUGGCGAAGGCGCUCUGCUGGGCCAUAACUGACGCUCAUGGACGAAAGCCAGGGGAGCGAAAGGGAUUAGAUACCCCUGUAGUCCUGGCCGUAAACGAUGAACACUAGGUGUCGGGGGAAUCGACCCCCUCGGUGUCGUAGCCAACGCGUUAAGUGUUCCGCCUGGGGAGUACGCACGCAAGUGUGAAACUCAAAGGAAUUGACGGGGGCCCGCACAAGCGGUGGAGUAUGUGGUUUAAUUCGAUGCAACGCGAAGAACCUUACCAGGGUUUGACAUCCUGCGAAUCCCUUGGAAACUUGGGAGUGCCUUCGGGAGCGCAGUGACAGGUGGUGCAUGGCUGUCGUCAGCUCGUGUCGUGAGAUGUUGGGUUAAGUCCCGCAACGAGCGCAACCCACGUCUUUAGUUGCCAGCAUUCAGUUGGGCACUCUAGAGAGACCGCCGGUGAUAAACCGGAGGAAGGUGUGGAUGACGUCAAGUCAUCAUGCCCCUUACAUCCUGGGCUACACACGUACUACAAUGCUACGGACAAAGGGCAGCAAACUCGCGAGAGCUAGCAAAUCCCAUAAACCGUGGCUCAGUUCAGAUCGUAGGCUGCAACUCGCCUACGUGAAGGAGGAAUCGCUAGUAAUCGCAGGUCAGCAUACUGCGGUGAAUACGUUCCCGGGCCUUGUACACACCGCCCGUCACACCAUGGAAGUUGGCCAUGCCCGAAGUCGUUACUCCAACCCGUAAGGGAGGAGGACGC